rnacentral:tmRNA from 1 species
UCGAAUCACAGUAGAUUAGCUUAAUCCAGGCACUAGGUGCCAGGACGAGACAUCACUCGGAAGCUGUUGCUCCGAAGCAUUCCGGUUCAGUGGUGCAGUAACAUCGGGGAUAGUCAGAAGCGGCCUCGCGUUUUUGAUGAAACUUUAGAGGAUAAGGCAGGAAUUGAUGGCUUUGGUUCUGCUCCUGCACGAAAAUUUAGGCAAAGAUAAGCAUGUAGAAAGCUUAUGAUUUCCUCGUUUGGACGAGGGUUCGAUUCCCUCCAGCUCCACUU